rnacentral:ncRNA from 1 species
CCAAAGAAGAGUUUGAUCCUGGCUCAGGAUGAACGCUAGCUACAGGCUUAACACAUGCAAGUCGUGGGGCAUCAUGAUGUAGUAAUACAUUGAUGGCGACCGGCGCACGGGUGAGUAACGCGUAUCCAACCUACCCUCCACUCAAGUAUAGGCUUCCGAAAGGGAGAUUAAUCCUUGAUAUCGUCAUUCUCUCUCCUGUUAGAAUGAUAAAAGGACAUCGUUUCGGUAGAGGAUGGGGAUGCGUUCCAUUAGGUAGUAGGUGGUUUAACAGGCCACCUAGCCGAU